GAUGAACGCUGACAGAAUGCUUAACACAUGCAAGUCGAUUCAAGUUACCUUCGGGUAAUGAGGAUGGCGGACGGGUGAGUAACGCGUAAGGAACUUGCCUCUUGGUCUGGGACAACUGUUGGAAACGACAGCUAAUACCGGAUAUUAUGAGAUUCUCGCAUGGGAAACUUAUGAAAGCUAUAUGCGCCAAGAGAGAGCCUUGCGUUCCAUUAGCUAGUUGGUGGGGUAACGGCCCACCAAGGCGACGAUGGAUAGCCGGCCUGAGAGGGUGAACGGCCACAAGGGGACUGAGACACGGCCCUUACUCCUACGGGAGGCAGCAGUGGGGAAUAUUGGACAAUGGGCCACAAGCCUGAUCCAGCAAUUCUGUGUGCACGAUGAAGGUCUUCGGAUUGUAAAGUGCUUUCAGUUGGGAAGAAGAAAGUGACGGUACCAACAGAAGAAGCGACGGCUAAAUACGUGCCAGCAGCCGCGGUAAUACGUAUGUCGCAAGCGUUAUCCGGAUUUAUUGGGCGUAAAGCGCGUCUAGGCGGAAAAAUAAGUCUGAUGUUAAAAUGCGGGGCUCAACUCCGUAUUGCGUUGGAAACUGUUUUUCUAGAGUACUGGAGAGGUGGGCGGAACUACAAGUGUAGAGGUGAAAUUCGUAGAUAUUUGUAGGAAUGCCGAUGGAGAAGUCAGCUCACUGGNCAGAUACUGACGCUGAAGCGCGAAAGCNUGGGGAGCAAACAGGAUUAGAUACCCUGGUAGUCCACGCCGUAAACGANGAUCACUAG
rnacentral:rRNA from 1 species